GUGCCAGCCGCCGCGGUAAGACGAACCGUGCGAACGUUGUUCGGAAUCACUGGACUUAAAGGGCGCGUAGGCGGGCCAUCAAGUCCGGGGUGAAAUCUUUCGGCUCAACCGGAAAAGUGCCUUGGAUACUGAUGGUCUUGAGGGAGGUAGGGGCAUGUGGAACUUCCGGUGGAGCGGUGAAAUGCGUUGAUAUCUACAGGAACUCCGGUGGCGAAAGCGGCGUGCUGGACCUCUUCUGACGCUGAGGCGCGAAAGCCAGGGGAGCAAACGGGAUUAGAAACCCGGGUAGUCC
rnacentral:rRNA from 1 species